CCCAGCUGGCUGUGGCUGUGGAUCCUUCAGACCCUCGGGCUGUGCAGGCUUCCAUUGAAAAGGAAGGGGUCACCUUGGUCGCCAUUCUCUGUACUCACAAGCACUGGUAAGGGGCUCCCGUCUUCUCUGGCCCACCCUUGUCCCGGCUGGGCUUGCCAGGACUGGGCCCAUUGAGGACGGCCGGGGCCAGAGGUCAAGAAGUCAGUAUG
rnacentral:sRNA from 1 species